rnacentral:sRNA from 1 species
GUAUAAAAAAAGGCCCAAAACGAUUAUAGCUGUUUGGGCCUAGGGGAAUGGCUCGUUAAAGAGCCGUGCGCUACAGGUGAAAGAGCGAUACAAAGCACUUUACAUUAGACUCAGUGUAGUAGAGCUUUGGUCUUAGAGUAGUGUGCUUAUUCCCCUUUUUUAGGUU